AAAAAGAGGACAGAGAACAGGUCUACACAAAACUGGUUUUUGAGGCAGAAGUGUCCCACCAGAUGCAAGCAAUGGGAAAUCAGGAGGAAGACGAGGGAAGCUCAAGCACAAAGCUGUCAGGAUUCAAUGAAGAGACCACAGCUCCAAAUGAGUCACCUCCUUGUAAGAAGAAAGCCUUAGAUGCGCUGUUUGGCGAUUCCUUCACCCAAAGAGAAAGAAAAUCCACAAGCAAGACAGCCAGAGCAGAGGUGUUAAGGUAC